UGACAAACAAUGGGGUGCUGAUAUUUUUGGCUGAGAAUAUACCCAAGAACAUUUUGUUCUAUACCUGAUCCAGGUAAUGCUGGCGGAGGGAUUGAUGUUAGUAAUAAC
rnacentral:ncRNA from 1 species